GAGGCCCUAAGGUGGUCUGUGAGGUUCCAGGACCCCAGUUUUACUCUAUAUCCUCUGCUCUGAUAUGAAAAGAAGAUGAUCUGUAUUGUGGGCUUCAACCUUUUGCUUCUCUACAAGGGCAUGCUGUGUGAAAAAGUGACCCAGAGUUCCCCAGAGAAGAUCGUGGAAAGUGGCAGUGAGGCUCCCAAAGGCAUGGCCUCGG